rnacentral:rRNA from 1 species
UACGUAGGGGGCUAGCGUUGUCCGGAUUUAUUGGGCGUAAAGAGCGUGUAGGCGGCCAGGUAGGUCUGCUGUGAAAACUCGAGGCUUAACCUCGAGAUGUCGGCGGAAACCAUCUGGCUAGAGUCCGGAAGAGGAGAGUGGAGUUCCUGGUGUAGCGGUGAAAUGCGCAGAUAUCAGGAAGAACACCCGUGGCGAAGGCGGCUCUCUGGUACGUGACUGACGCUGAGACGCGAAAGCGUGGGUAGCAAACAGG